rnacentral:snRNA from 1 species
AGACUUACCUGACGGGGGGUUACCACAACAACGAAGGUGGUCUUCUCAUCUUCUGUUGUACUCUGAAUGUGCAGACCCCUGAUAUUUCCCCAAAUUUGGGAAACUUGACUGCUUUAUUUCUGGUAGUGGGGUACUACAUUCAUGAGUUGUUUUA